rnacentral:rRNA from 1 species
GGGGGGGGGGGGGGGGGGGGGGGGGGGAGGGGGGGGGGGGGGGGGCGCGGGGAGGGCGGGGGGGUACGGGGGGGGGGUGGGGGGCGGGGGGGGGAGGGAGGGGAGUCUAGGGUUGGGGGGGGGGUAAGGUAGGGAAACUCACGCUAAUGCGGCAGACGCGCUACGGGUGAAAGGAGGGGAGCUGCGGACCUUGCGCGAUGGAAGGAGCCGAUGUCGGAUUAGCUAGUUGGCGGGGUAAAGGACCACCAAGGCGACGAUCCGUAGCUGGUCUGAGUGGAUGAUCAGCCACACUGGAACUGAGACACGGUCCCGACUCCUACGGGAGGCAGCAGUGGGGAAUAUUGGACAAUGGGCGCAAGCCUGAUCCAGCCAUACUGCGUGGGUGAAGAAGGCCUUCGGGUUGUAAAGCCCUUUUGUUGGGAAAGAAAAGCAGCAGGUUAAUACCCCGCUGUUCUGACGGUACCCAAAGAAUAAGCACCGGCUAACUUCGUG